rnacentral:rRNA from 1 species
UUUUUAAGAAAUGAAUUUAAUUCAUGCGUAUUAUUUAAUUUCUGUUUUUUUUUAUUGAUUUUUAUUUUAUGUUAAAAUUGAGGGGGAUUAGCUCCUUAUUUUAUUGUUAUAACUGACUUAUUAAUUUAUUUUUGUGGAUUUUAUAUUGAUUUUCAAUUAGAUUAUGUUAAAAUUUUAUUUGAUUUUGUUUUUUAUUUAUUGUUUGUUUAAUUUUUUUAUUGAAAUGUUUCCUUUAUCUUUUGUUUGUUUAGUAAUUAUUGUGUAAUUAGUAAAUCUUUUUUUUGUGAUUGUUUUAGUGGUAAGGCGUUAAUUUCUUUUUAGGAAUUCGGCAAAGUUUCAUGUCCGCCUGUUUAACAAAAACAUCUCUUCUUGUUAGUUUUUGAAGUAUGGCCUGCCCACUGACUUUUAUGUUGAAGGGCCGCGGUAUUUUGACCGUGCAAAGGUAGCAUAAUCAUUAGUUCUUUAAUUGUGAUCUGGUAUGAAUGGCUUGACGAGACGUGGACUGUCUUGGGGGUAUUGUUUAUUGAAUUUAGUUUUUGAGUUAAAAUUCUUAGAUGUUUUUAUGGGACGAGAAGACCCUAUAGAGUUUGACAUUUAGGUUUGCUGGUAUUGUGUUGUUUGUAUUAUUUUAUUUUUAGUGAAUUAAGUGUUUUGUUGGGGUGAUGGGAGGAAUUUUUUUAACUCCUCUUUGUUUUUGUAUAUUUAUUUGUAUAUUUAUGAUCA